AUUGAACGCUGGCGGCAGGCCUAACACAUGCAAGUCGAGCGGAUGAAGGGAGCUUGCUCCUGGAUUCAGCGGCGGACGGGUGAGUAAUGCCUAGGAAUCUGCCUGGUAGUGGGGGAUAACGUCCGGAAACGGGCGCUAAUACCGCAUACGUCCUUAGGGAGAAAGUGGGGGAUCUUCGGACCUCACGCUAUCAGAUGAGCCUAGGUCGGAUUAGCUAGUUGGUGGGGUAAAGGCCUACCAAGGCGACGAUCCGUAACUGGUCUGAGAGGAUGAUCAGUCACACUGGAACUGAGACACGGUCCAGACUCCUACGGGAGGCAGCAGUGGGGAAUAUUGGACAAUGGGCGAAAGCCUGAUCCAGCCAUGCCGCGUGUGUGAAGAAGGUCUUCGGAUUGUAAAGCACUUUAAGUUGGGAGGAAGAGCAGUAAGUUAAUACCUUGCUGUUUUGACGUUACCAACAGAAUAAGCACCGGCUAACUUCGUG
rnacentral:rRNA from 1 species